UACGUAGGUGGCAAGCGUUUGUCCGGAUUUACUGGGCGUAAAGAGCGCGCAGGCGUCGUUCAAGUCGCGUGUGAAAGCCCCGGCUCAACUGGGGAGGGUCACGCGAUACUGAUCGACUCGAAGGCAGGAGAGGGUAAGUGGAAUUCCCGGUGUAGUGGUGAAAUGCGUAGAUAGUCCGGAGGAACACCAGUGGCGAAGGCGACUU
rnacentral:rRNA from 1 species